UGGGUCUAAGCGUCCGUAGCCGGCUGGAAAAGUUCUCCGUUAAACCCAACGAUUCAAUCGUUGGACUGCGGGGAAUACUCUUCAGCUUGGGGGCGGGGGAAGUCGGCGGUAGUCCAGGGGUAGGGGCGAAAUCCUAUCAUCCUUGGAGGACCACCAGUGGCGAAGGCGGCCGACCAAAACGCGCCCGACGGUGAGGGACGAAAGCUGGGGGAGCGAACGGGAUUAGAUACCCCGGUAGUCCCA
rnacentral:rRNA from 1 species